UUUGAUUGGAUACUAAAUAUAAACUUUGCUGUGGGCGGAAAGCGAUCAGGUUAAGUUUUGUGUCAGGCUCUAUUUGUAAAAUAGAGCCUGAUACUCAGGUUAGCUUUUUUUCAGGGAUUUGUAGGGCCAUUAAACGGCCCCAAAAACUCAAUCUUGAAUUGAGUUUUGAAACUCAAUCUUCUCACCAAAGUUUCAGUGCAGUAAAAAUGAAGUUGUUUGAGUUAAAUUCGUGAUGUGUGGAAAUUAGUUUUCAGUUGGAAACCCGACAAUUAAGAAAAAAUGGCUGGAAUUCAUCUCACAACACAAGAAAAACUAUGCAUUCGCCAUCUUUAACCAGUUUAUAGUGUCCCUCAAUGCCCCUGCUUUAACACAUUCCGUCUCAACUACAUUUGUUGAGUACAAGUGUCAGCCCCCCGGUAGGGGGGGGGGGGUUGCAACCACCACAGCUGUUCAGCUAAACUCAAUCUUCUCUGCAAAAACGGAUCCAAGAGAAAAUCCUGAAAAAAACCCUGUUAUAUGUACUACAAGAAAUGGCCCAAGGCAUCAAAACAGGGGACAGCCAAAGAAUCACCCAUGGAGCUACAGUUAUAAUAAUACUCUAUCACAUAUUGUAACUUGAUUGUACAGUUACAAUUAUUAAUUUGAUAAUUAUUCUUUGACCAAGUUUAAUUAAAA